rnacentral:rRNA from 1 species
GAUGAACGCUGGCGGCGUGCCUAAUACAUGCAAGUCGAGCGAACGGACGAGAAGCUUGCUUCUCUGAUGUUAGCGGCGGACGGGUGAGUAACACGUGGAUAACCUACCUAUAAGACUGGGAUAACUUCGGGAAACCGGAGCUAAUACCGGAUGAUAUUUUGAACCGCAUGGUUCAAAAGUGAAAGACGGUCUUGCUGUCACUUAUAGAUGGAUCCGCGCUGCAUUAGCUAGUUGGUAAGGUAACGGCUUACCAAGGCAACGAUGCAUAGCCGACCUGAGAGGGUGAUCGGCCACACUGGAACUGAGACACGGUCCAGACUCCUACGGGAGGCAGCAGUAGGGAAUCUUCCGCAAUGGGCGAAAGCCUGACGGAGCAACGCCGCGUGAGUGAUGAAGAUCUUCGGAUCGUAAAACUCUGUUAUUAGGGAAGAACAUAUGUGUAAGUAACUGUGCACAUCUUGACGGUACCUAAUCAGAAAGCCACGGCUAACUACGUG